rnacentral:lncRNA from 1 species
GGCCAUGGUCACGAUGAUAGAGGUAAAAUUUAUUUCGGUUGUGCUUUUCAGGGUGCAAGCGCAUCCUCUCCGGCCUUGGGAGCUGCUCUCUAACCUCCAUCAGUACUUGAGUUUUUGAUGCAUUGAGAGGGGCGUAGCUGUGAAAUCUCCUGGGAGGAGAGCCUCACCGAACUCGACGGUCUGGGCUUCUCUAUUUACGAGCUCGGAGAGGAGUCCGAGCAUGCCUGUGCCCGGGAGGAGUUCGAGAGCGUGGCCGAGCAGCCGAGCUUCACUCGGCCCUUUUUCAACUACGGGCUUGCUCGAGUCUCCCACCUGCCACUCUCUCACGAUCUCCUCAUCC